CUCCUCCUCUUCCGUCUCCUCCUCCGUCUCCCCACUGUCAGAGACGUACUCGGCGCUAUCCGCGCUGCCCUCCUGGCUGCCCUCCUCUUCCUCGGCUGGAUUCCCGUUCGAGACUGCAGAAUGCCAGUUAGUCCACUCCUAUACAAAACACAGUCGGCAACGCCAGUUAGCGGGACAAGAAAAGCAAUAAAUCUAAGAAGAUUAAAAGCACUUGACAAGAUGUGCACACUUCAUUCGGAGGAGAAUUUUCGGUGCGGAAGGGCUUCACCCGCCGGGCUCCCACGGGGUUAUCACACACGCCUGUGAUGCCGCGGACCCACGCACUCACAGUCUCCCCGCUCACGUCCUCUGGAUGAGACCGAGUGGAAUCCGAAGGCCCUGCAUAGUGCCACAUGGCGUGGUGUCAGGCCUGCAGCGGCUGGAUGCGCCGACCCAGAAAAGUCUCCAGCAGGUCCGUGCG
rnacentral:lncRNA from 1 species